UGCAAAACCACUUUGCCAAAGAUGGCAUCCAUUGAAUCCUCAGUGUCUAAACAGCGCUCUCAAAAGGCAUGGACUGAACUUCAUGUCAUCGUUCUACAUGUUUCCGAAAUGGGAACAUGUUAAAACCCUUCCAGACAAGGUAUCUCCACAUUUACACAAUGAACAUUUGGCUAUGCUUUACUUGAAACAAGUUUCUACAGGCAGGCCUUUCACAGCAGGUCCAGAUAACUUGCAACCAAGAGUUUUGAAAGAUCUAGCUGGGGAGCUCACUGGACUGUUAAUCUUAAUUUUCAAUAAUGGAGCACAGGAGAAGUUUCAGAAGACUGGAAAAAAGCUAAUGUUGUGACAGUUUUUAAAAAGGGUAAAACGGGAUGACUCAGGUGAUCUGUUUUGUUUGGUGUACCAGUCUGAAUGGUGAUACCUCAGUAUGUGAUCAGUCAGGCGAUUAGAUUUGUUGACAUCAAAUACUGGCUUAUAUGGUCAUUGAAAAGAAAAAUCAAGUAUCUUGUGUUUCGAAUGCUGGCUUCAUUUUGUGUAGAGUGGGUAGUAAGCUACCAGACAAUUUCCAAUCUGUUUCAACUGAAUCCAGAAAAUCCAUACAUCAAGAUUCCUCACCUGAGAAUUCAGGAUCAGCUUGCUAUGGAGUUCACAGGGCUUUGUCUGUUAGUGCUUUUUAUAUGAAGAUCUCAAAUUAAUUUAAUGGCAUCUCAAUUUUCCUGUGAGGGUAGAGACAUAAGAAAAACUAAGGAUUUGGGGACAGCAGAAAAGUGACAUGGCAAAAAUCUAGAAAGAAAGAAAGAAAAUUUCCAGAAAAGAGCAUAAAAUCCUGAGUCGUCAUUUUUUAAAAUACCACUACCUGUUAAUAUUUUAAAGCCAUAUUAUCAACCACUUCUGAGAAAUGUAUUCAUUAAUCAGAAGAAACUCUUCUGGGAAAUACGUAUUCAAUAAUGAUUAGAUUCUUGUACAAAUUGUUACAAAAAUUAUAGUGUAUUAUAAACCAUGUAUUUGAAAAUAUGUGGUUAAAGUGCUAAUAUGAACAAAUUCUCUAAAGAGCUGAUUUUUUAAAGUCUUAUUGAAAUUAAAUAUUUUCCAAUAAAAAAGAAAGCUUGAUAAAUUAAUUUUAAAACUACUACAAAAAACAACACAUGAAAAGUAGCACUAGCCUUAUUAGAAAUUGACAAUUUGAUUUCGGGGUUUAUUCUAAAAUGGGGGGGGGUACUCUUCACUACACAAAUAAUAUAAAUAUAUUUUUAAAAAUUCAAUAUUUUUUCAAGAACAAAAUAAAAAGCAAAAAAAGUAAGAGCUUUAGAGAUUUCCAACAGCUUUUCAGAUUUGCUGCUUGUAUAUAUAAUGUUUUCCUUCCACUUUCCAGCAAGUUUUCUCAAACUCAUGGUUUCCUCAGUAAUACAGGUGAAAACAAAUGCAUUAACAAAUUCAGUCAUUUCUAUUAUUUGGGUUUUUACUAAUCUAAAAUAUCAAUAUUAUUCUUUACUGCACAAGCACCCAGUCUACCUAUCUAAAGAAAAAAAAGAUUACGAUCUACCAAUCCAGACUGCACAGUCAAACAGCAGCAGAUUUCAUAGACAUAAAUUAGUCCCUCUGCUCAGGGCUGGUGCUUCCAUUUAGGCAGCCUAGGCAAUCGCCUAGGGCACCAAGG